rnacentral:rRNA from 1 species
CGCCUUUUGAACUAUAAACAUAAAAGGUCCUGCCUGCCCAGUGACACUUGUUUCAACGGCCGCGGUAUCAUGACCGUGCAAAGGUAGCGUAAUCACUUGUCUUUUAAAUAAAGACCGGUAUGAAUGGCAAGACGAAAGCCUAACUGUCUCCUUAAGCUAAUCAAUGAAAUUGAUCUUCCCGUGCAGAAGCGGGAAUAAUAAUAUAAGACGAGAAGACCCUGUGGAGCUUCAAAAUUAAGCUAACAGACCAUAAUGCCUUAGCGUACAGUUUUGGGUUGGGGCGACCAUGAGGUAAAACAAAACCCUCGAGACGAAAACUAAGAAUGACACUUCAAAUAAAUAACAAUAUAGUAAUUGACCCAAUAAUUGAUCAACGAACCAAGUUACCCCAGGGAUAACAGCGCAAUCUACUCAAAGAGCCCUUAUCGACGAGCAGGUUUACGACCUCGAUGUUGGAUCAGGACCCCCAAAUAAUGUAACAAUUAUUAAAGGUUCGUUUGUUCAACGAUUAAAGUCCU